rnacentral:rRNA from 1 species
CCUACGGGAGGCAGCAGUGGGGAAUAGUGCACAAUGGGGGAAACCCUGAUGCAGCGACGCCGCGUGAGUGAAGAAGUAUUUCGGUAGGUAAAGCUCUAGCAGCAGGGAAGAAAAUGACGGUACCUGAGUAAGAAGCCACGGCUAACUACGUGCCAGCAGCCGCGGUAAGACGUAGGGGGCAAGCGUUAUCCGGAUUUACUGGGUGUAAAUGGAGCGUAGACGGCAGCACAAGUCUGGAGUGAAAUGCCGGGGCUUAACCCCGGAACUGCUUUGGAAACUGUGCAGCUAGAGUGCAGGAGAGGUCAGUGCACUUCCUCGUGUAGCGGUUCCAUGCGUCGCUAUUAGGCGGACCACCAGUGGCGAAUGCGGCUUACUGGACUGUACCUGACGUUGCGGCUCG